UACGAAGGGGGCUAGCGUUGCUCGGAAUCACUGGGCGUAAAGCGCACGUAGGCGGCUUUUUAAGUCAGGGGUGAAAUCCUGGAGCUCAACUCCAGAACUGCCUUUGAUACUGAGGAUCUUGAGUUCGGGAGAGGUGAGUGGAACUGCGAGUGUAGAGGUGAAAUUCGUAGAUAUUCGCAAGAACACCAGUGGCGAAGGCGGCUCACUGGCCCAUUACUGACGCUGAGGCACGAAAGCGUGGGGAGCAAACAGG
rnacentral:rRNA from 1 species